rfam:Oryza sativa Indica Group cultivar 93-11 Ctg037454, whole genome shotgun sequence.
GAGUGCGAUCAUACCAGUAUUAAAGCACCGGAUUCCAUCAGAACUCCGAAGUUAAGCGUGCUUGGGCGAGAGUAGUACUAGGAUGGGUGACCUCCUGGGAAGUCCUCGUGUUGCAUCCC